CUGCCACGGGAGAGGCUCCUGGAGCUGCUAGCGGCCAGGGGAGGAUGCAAGGGGCUGGUUUCAAAGCACUAACCCAGGGAGACCCGCCGAGGAAACUGCUCCCUCAGAGACCCGAAGGCAGAGGAGUUGCUGAGGCUGGGAACGGGGCCAGAACAAGAGGGAAGGAAGCGGAAAACAAUGCCACACAAAGACAAACCCCGCACGCCCCCACGGCGGCGCGGGGAGGGGAGGUCACAACACUGCCGCCCACCACGGUUCAUGGAGACCCAGGGUCCCUGGAGGAAGCUGAUUAGCGUGCGAGGCAUCCCGAAGCUAGUGUCAGAAUGAAAACUCGGCUUAAAAAAACAAAACCAGCAGCAACAAAACCCACAAAAGAACAAAUUCAGCUUCAGUGUCCCCUC